rnacentral:rRNA from 1 species
ACGGGUGAGUAACGCGUGGGAAGCUACCUUGUGGUAUGGGACAAGAGUUGGAAACGACUGCUAAUACCCUGUGAGCCCUAUGGGGGAAAGAUUUAUCGCCUUGAGAUGUGCCCGCGUUAAAUUAGCUAGUUGGUAAGGUAAUGGCUUACCAAGGCGACCAUCUAUAGCUGGUCUGACAGGAUGAUCACCCACACUGGGACUGAGACACGGCCCAGACUCCUACGGGAGGCAGCAGUGGGGAAUAUUGGACAAUGGGGGCAACCCUGAUCCAGCCAUGCCGCGUGUGUGAUGACGGCCGUAGGGUUGUAAAGCACUUUCAGCAGUGAAGAUAAUGACAUUAACUGCAGAACAAGCCCCGGCUAACUUCGUGCCACCAGCCGCGGUAAUACUAAGGGGGCUAGCGUUGUUCGGAAUCACUGGGCGUAAAGAGUACGUAGGCGGACUGAUAAGUUACGGGUGAAAUCCCAAGGCUCAACCUUGUAACUGCCU